rnacentral:rRNA from 1 species
UACGUAGGGUGCAAGCGUUAAUCGGAAUUACUGGGCGUAAAGCGUGCGCAGGCGGUUAUGUAAGACAGAUGUGAAAUCCCCGGGCUCAACCUGGGAACUGCAUUUGUGACUGUAGAGCUGGAGUACGGUAGAGGGGGAUGGAAUUCCGCGUGUAGCAGUGAAAUGCGUAGAUAUGCGGAGGAACACCGAUGGCGAAGGCAAUCCCCUGGACCUGUACUGACGCUCAUGCACGAAAGCGUGGGGAGCAAACAGG